AGGACCAGGGCACAGUGGGGGUGAUUUUUAACGUGGGAACAGAUGAUAUAACUAUCGAAGAGCCAGGGGCCAUUGUGAGUGAUGGGAAGUAUCAUGUGGUGCGAUUUACCCGUAGUGGUGGUAAUGCUACCCUGCAGGUAGACAGCUGGCCGGUGAAUGAGAGAUACCCUGCAGGGAACCCAGAUAGUGAAAGACUGGCGCUUGCCCGUCAGCGCAUCCCCUACCGCCUGGGUCGUGUUGUAGACGAGUGGCUGCUAGACAAAGGUCGGCAGCUCACCAUAUUCAACAGCCAGGCAGCUAUCAAAGUUGGUGGAAAGGACCAAGGACGGCCAUUCCAGGGUCAGAUCUCAGGCUUGUAUUACAAUGGGCUAAAGGUUCUAUCUCUAGCUGCAGAGAGUGACCCCAA